GGGGGUCUCCCUAUGUUGCCCAGGCUGGUCUCAAACUCCUGGGCUCAAGUGAUCCGCCCACCUCAGCCUCCCAAAGUGCUGGGAUUCCAGGCGUGAGCCACCACGCCUGGUCUAUUAAGAAGUUUGAAUGUCUGAAGCCUUCAUGGUUGCCUCAAACGUAGUCACGCCUGGGGUCGGUGUGGGGGUCCCGGGGCUCCAAGCCACCAGGCUGUGUGGACAGCCCCUCUUCUCAGCAGUCACCGUGGCCACCCCAGCUGUGUCCA
rnacentral:lncRNA from 10 species